rnacentral:ribozyme from 16 species
UUUUUUUCUUCAAUUGUUUAAAAAAAAAAAAAAAGAAGUAAAAUUAAGUUUUUUUACUACAUAUAUAUACGUAUAUAUAU